rnacentral:rRNA from 1 species
GACGAACGCUGGCGGCGCGCUUAACACAUGCAAGUCGAACGGAAAGGCCUGCUUUCCCUUGUGGAUUGCGGGUACUCGAGUGGCGAACGGGUGAGUAACACGUGAGUGAUCUGCCCCCAACUUGGGUAUAAGCCUGGGAAACUGGGUCUAAUUCCCGAUAGGACUGCAGGGUGGUGCCUGUGGUGGAAAACGAUUUUCUAGUGGUUGGGGAUGAGCUCGCGGCCUAUCAGCUUGUUGGUGGGGUAAUGGCCUACCAAGGCGGCGACGGGUAGCCGGCCUGGGAGGGUGGACGGGCACAUUGGGACUGAGAUACGGCCCAGACUCCUACGGGAGGCAGCAGUGGGGAAUAUUGCACGAUGGGCGGAAGCCUGAUGCAGCGACGCCGCGUGGGGGAUGACGGCCUUCGGGUUGUAAACUCCUUUCGACCGCGAGGAAGCCACCUGGUUGGAAGGGUGGUGACGGUAGUGGUAGAAGAAGCACCGGCUAACUACGUG